UACGGAGGAUCCAAGCGUUAUCCGGAUUCAUUGGGUUUAAAGGGUGCGUAGGCGGAAUGAUAAGUCAGUGGUGAAAUCCUUCAGCUUAACUGGAGACUGCCAUUGAUACUGUCAAUCUUGAGUACAUUUGAUGUGGGCGGAAUGUGUCAUGUAGCGGUGAAAUGCUUAGAUAUGACACAGAACACCGAUUGCGAAGGCAGCUCACAAAACUGUAACUGACGCUGAGGCACGAAAGCGUGGGUAUCAAACAGG
rnacentral:rRNA from 1 species